GAUGAACGCUGGCGGCGUGCUUAACACAUGCAAGUCGAACGAAGCAUUUAAGACAGAUUACUUCGGUUUGAAGUCUUUUAUGACUGAGUGGCGGACGGGUGAGUAACGCGUGGGUAACCUGCCUCAUACAGGGGGAUAGCAGCUGGAAACGGCUGGUAAUACCGCAUAAGCGCACAGUACCACAUGGUACAGUGUGAAAAACUCCGGUGGUAUGAGAUGGACCCGCGUCUGAUUAGCUUGUUGGCGGGGUAACGGCCCACCAAGGCGACGAUCAGUAGCCGACCUGAGAGGGUGACCGGCCACAUUGGGACUGAGACACGGCCCAGACUCCUACGGGAAGCAGCAGUGGGGAAUAUUGCACAAUGGAGGAAACUCUGAUGCAGCGACGCCGCGUGAGUGAAGAAGUAGUUCGCUAUGUAAAGCUCUAUCAGCAGGGAAGAUAGUGACGGUACCUGACUAAGAAGCUCCGGCUAAAUACGUG
rnacentral:rRNA from 1 species